CCUGAUCCAGCAAUGCCGCGUGAGUGAUGAAGGCCUUAGGGUUGUAAAGCUCUUUUACCAGGGAUGAUAAUGACAGUACCUGGAGAAUAAGCUCCGGCUAACUCCGUGCCAGCAGCCGCGGUAAUACGGAGGGAGCUAGCGUUGUUCGGAAUUACUGGGCGUAAAGCGUACGUAGGCGGUUAUUCAAGUCAGGGGUGAAAGCCUGGAGCUCAACUCCAGAACUGCCCUUGAAACUAGAUAGCUAGAAUCUUGGAGAGGUGAGUGGAAUUCCGAGUGUAGAGGUGAAAUUCGUAGAUAUUCGGAAGAACACCAGUGGCGAAGGCGACUCACUGGACAAGUAUUGACGCUGAGGUACGAAAGCGGGGAGCAAACAGGAUUAGAUACCCUGGUAGUCCACGCCGUAAACGAUGAUAACUAGCUGUUCGGGCUCUACGAGCUUGAGUGGCGCAGCUAACGCAUUAAGUUAUCCGCCUGGGGAGUACGGUCGCAAGAUUAAAACUCAAAGGAAUUGACGGGGGCCUGCACAAGCGGUGGAGCAUGUGGUUUAAUUCGAAGCAACGCGCAGAACCUUACCAGCGUUUGACAUCCUAAUCGCGGAUUCCAGAG
rnacentral:rRNA from 1 species